UACGUAGGGGGCCAGCGUUGUUCGGAAUUACUGGGCGUAAAGGGUUCGUAGGCGGUGUAGCAAGUCGGGAGUGAAAUCUCUGGGCUUAACCCAGAGGCUGCUUCCGAAACUGCUGUGCUUGAGUGUGGGAGAGGCGCGUGGAAUUGCAGGUGUAGCGGUGAAAUGCGUAGAUAUCUGCAGGAACACCCGUGGCGAAAGCGGCGCGCUGGACCACUACUGACGCUGAGGAACGAAAGCUAGGGGAGCAAACAGG
rnacentral:rRNA from 1 species